UCUGGGGGCUCUGUUUAACUAGCUCUCUUCUUCCUGUUGUAUUCUCUCUUGCAGCUCAGAAGGCCUCCUCUGUCUGUUACCUCUGUAACGGAUCAUUUACUGUGGUCACGAGGUGAAAUGGCUGACCCCCCCCAUCUGGAAAAUGCUUGUUGUGUGUUGAGAACCAGAAGGUCUACGCUGUGUGUGACUCAGAGAUCAUCAAGCCAGCCUUUGAGGGCCAAGGCAGCUCCAUGCCUGUCAUCGAAGCCAAUUGUCCUAGAAUUGUUUCAACUGAUCGGACGGAUGAGUGGGGGGGUUAUCUAAAGAAGAAGAGAUCACUAUUGGAAUUUUAGCUGCCACCCUAGCCUUCCUCGCCAUCCUCGUUGCUUGGCGCUACAAUGCCCAGAUUAAGUAAGCAGGCUGUUACAUGUCCCUCUCUCUCGGAUAAUACAGGUUUAACACUCAUGUGUUAUACAGUCACUAUGCCUAGCCACCUAACUUGACUCUCAUCAUUUAACUAUAAUUGUUGCCUUCUGCAUUUUUAAGAGCUGUAUGAGUGAUUUACACAUUAUCAUCAAUGUUCUGUCUUUUGGCCGAUUUAUUUGAGUUGAUUGUCUCUUCAGGUGUCUUCCAGUGGCCUCUCCAGCAGUCAAAUCAGGGGAACCCCAGUGCUAUUCAGAUUAACUGAAGAGUGUGAUACUGUCAACUGAGGAAGAGUUGGACCUGCAGGGAAUAGUGGUGUGCCAAGAUGUGAAUAUCUCCUCCGAUAUAUUUCUAACAAGGCAAAUGUUGUCUAGGUCCUAUUUAACCCCAUGGUGUGUGUUUAUCCUGCAACUGGAGGGGACAGUGUUCUCCUUAAGUUCAGGUGGCCUUCAGCUCUAUCAGCCAGGUUG
rnacentral:lncRNA from 1 species